AACGGUCUAUACCUGCGGUACCUGCGGAAGGAUCAUUACCGAGUGAGGGCCCUCUGGGUCCAACCUCCCACCCGUGUUUAUCGUACCUUGUUGCUUCGGCGGGCCCGCCUCACGGCCGCCGGGGGGCACCUGCCCCCGGGCCCGCGCCCGCCGAAGACAUCAUUGAACUCUGUCUGAAGAUUGCAGUCUGAGUAGAUUAGCUAAAUCAGUUAAAACUUUCAACAAUGGAUCUCUAGAUCG
rnacentral:misc_RNA from 1 species